UUCCAUGGUGUGGGCAUUCUAGGAUGUAUUCCUGGAAUGAUCCCAUGCCUCAGCAAUGGUUUCUUACAUUUGCUGCUUGAAAUUGCAAAUCUUUUCUCUUAAGGCA
rnacentral:snoRNA from 1 species